rnacentral:rRNA from 1 species
GCAUCGAUGAAGAACGCAGCGAAAUGCGAUAAGUAAUGCGAAUCGCAGAAUUCCGCGAGUCAUCGAAUCUUUGAACGCACAUGCGCCUGCCAGUAUUCUGGCAGGCAUGCCUGUCCGAGCGUCAUU